CUGGGCGCCUUGAGAGCGGGGAGACGGCGCCCUCCCGUCCAGCUCAUUUCAUUACGGGCCUUGGCCUUGACAGGCGUGUUGGCGCCUGCCGUGGGCGCAUUCUGCCCCGGGCUGUAUCUCUCUCGGGAGACUGUUCCAAUGGUUGGGGCAGAGUGAGGUCGUUGCCUUGACGACGACAGCAUGCGGCCCGCGGUCCGCCCGAGUGCGCGCCUGCGGCAGGCCGAGGCCGCUCUGCCUCCCCGCCCGCUUCGCCCCCGACCCGCGGCUGUGUCCCCAGAAGAAACCCAACCAGCUCCGGAACUGCCGGUUUGCUAGUCAGCAUCUUGUAGACCUGCGAGCGAGAUGCAUUUCACCCCAAAUUUGUUUCCAAGUUGGAAACCUUUGGGUCUUUCCAUGUGAAAGGAUUUUAAAGAAACGCAAGAAGAAUUCCUACCGGUUUUGAAUUAAAAUGGAAAAAUAUGAGAACCUAGGAUUGGUUGGAGAAGGGAGCUAUGGAAUGGUGAUGAAGUGUAGGAAUAAAGAUAGUGGAAGAAUUGUGGCCAUCAAGAAGUUCUUAGAAAGUGAUGAUGACAAAAUGGUUAAAAAAAUUGCUAUGCGAGAAAUCAAAUUACUAAAGCAACUGAGGCAUGAAAAUCUGGUGAAUUUGUUGGAAGUGUGUAAGAAAAAAAAACGAUGGUACCUGGUCUUUGAAUUUGUUGACCAUACAAUUCUUGAUGACUUGGAGCUCUUUCCUAAUGGUCUAGACUACCAACUGGUUCAAAAGUAUUUGUUUCAGAUUAUUAAUGGAAUUGGAUUUUGUCACAGUCACAAUAUCAUACACAGAGAUAUAAAGCCAGAGAAUAUAUUAGUCUCACAGUCUGGCGUUGUCAAAUUAUGUGAUUUUGGAUUUGCGCGAACAUUGGCAGCCCCUGGGGAAGUUUAUACUGAUUAUGUGGCAACCCGAUGGUACAGAGCUCCAGAACUAUUGGUCGGUGAUGUCAAGUAUGGCAAGGCUGUUGAUGUAUGGGCCAUUGGUUGUCUGGUAACUGAAAUGCUCAUGGGUGAACCCCUUUUUCCUGGAGAUUCUGAUAUUGACCAACUAUAUCAUAUAAUGGUGUGUUUAGGUAAUCUCAUUCCAAGACAUCAGGAGCUGUUUUAUAAAAAUCCCGUGUUUGCUGGAGUAAGGUUGCCAGAAAUCAAGGAAACAGAACCUCUUGAAAGACGUUAUCCCAAACUCUCUGAGGUUGUGAUAGAUUUAGCAAAGAAAUGCUUACAUAUUGACCCAGACAAAAGACCCUUCUGUGCUGAACUCCUCCAUCAUGAUUUCUUUCAUAAGGAUGGAUUUGCUGAGAGAUUUUCUCAAGAGCUACAGUUAAAAGUAGAGAAAGAUGCCAGAAAUAUUUCUUUAUCUAAGAAAUCUCAGAACAGAAAGAAGGAAAAGGGAAAAGAUGAUUUCUUCGGUGAAGAGAGAAAAACACUUGUGGUACAGGAUACCAAUGCUGAUCCCAAAAUUAAAGAUUCUAAGGUAUUUAAAAUAAAAGGGUCAAAAAUGGAUGGAGAAAAAGUUGAAAAAGUCAGUGGAACUUCCAAUGUCAGCUGUCGCCCCAACAAUGGGAUGAGCCACGUCAGAACCGGGCCUUCAGCAAGCCUCCGAGAUUGCAGCAAUGGCAGCGGGGAUCACACUAGAAAUCCGGGCGUGCCAAUCCCUCCCAUUGCCCACAAUCCUUCUGCGUUGGCUCCCGGGAUUAAUUCUGGAAUGGUGACUAUCCCGGGAGUUCAGAGUUACAGAGUGGACGAGAAAACCAGGAAGUAUUGUAUCCCAUUUGUUAAACCAAAUAAACGUUCUCCGUCAGGCAUUUAUAAUAUUAAUGUGACCACAUCCGUCACUAGUGAAAAGAGCCUACUUCAGGCAAAUAAGAAAAGAAGGGAGUACUCCAAGACAGAUGUCCGUUUGCCUGAACUAAACUACAGUCAUCUCCCUGAACUAAGAGCCUUGGAAGGCAUAGCUCGAAAUUCCAGGUUAAUAAGGAAAGAGAACAAGAAUCUCUCAGAAUCUCGAAUUCCUUCUCUGGCCACUAUUGACUUGCAUAUGCCCAGUGCCGCAUUACAUCAGAAGCUGGGACUCUACUCGCCCUCUUCAUGAUGUGGAUCAAUACGUUGAACUGUAUUUUGUUUCUGCGCCUAACACAAACAUUCUCACACGUAUAAAAGCCUGUCUUUAUAGACUUGUGGAACAUCUGCAAGAUAGAUUUUUGUAUCAGGAUCUCCCCCGUCAGAUGACUUGGAGGCUGAUUUGCCUCGAAUGGAACACCAGCACUGAGAGCCGUUUUGGUUCUGAACUGGAUGCUGCUCUAGCCCUUGAGAUGACAUCCCCUUGCAACAGAAGUGCUGAUAUCCUACAAAGAGAGAUUCGUGGUUUUGUCCUUUACUUCUAAACUGCCUGGAUUUUCUGAGAAAGGCCUUGCAGAAGAAAAAAAAAAAAAGACUUCCAAGUGUUUCCAAGGAAGAUUGAAUAAGUGCGCCUCCCUGAUUGCUAUCCUGUCACCUUUCAAGAUCUCUGUUGGUAUUUCAGGAUAUAUCCAAUGGAAGAAUAGUGAUAUGGUUCUUGUUACAUGAGUGUGUAUUUACUGUUAGUAAAUUGUGCAUUUAAAAUUACCCAAGAGUUAAAAAAAAAAAAGUUUAAAAAGAGAGAAAGAAUCAUUAUAAUGGUCAUGUUAUAUGAACUUUCUGUGUUAUCUAUAUAAAUGUGUACAUUUAUUUAGGAAUGGGUUUGGUGGAGGUAAGUGAUUAAAAACUAGGAUCAGUUGAAGAAAUGAAAAAAUUAGGAUCAGUCAGAGAAAAUGUUUCCUUUACCCUAAUUUAACUGUAAAUACUCAUUUAAAAAGUUUGCUUGUUUCUAGGCUUUAAAGGAGAUAUGUAAUUGCUCUCUGUGGAUAGGCGUCUGUCUUUGGUUUCUGUGAUUAUUGUUGAUGUUUGAUCAUUAUGUUAUGGGAAUCUGGCCUCUCUGCUGAUCUUUUAAGAACAACACUACUGCAAAUGUCUCAAGGAAACUUUUUAUGUCUAAUGAUUUAGUAUGACCUGACUUUAGAUAAUCCUCUGUAUUUUAAGACUGUGGUGCCAGGGUUCCUGUGUGCAGGAACAGGACUGAAGAAAGAACGGUGAAGGAGAAUUUUGUAGGUAUACCUUCAAGUUGAGGACUGUGCACGUCAUUGAGAAAGGAAGUAUAUACGUGCAAAAUUAGGAGAUGGGACGCUGGCUUACUGACCGACUAGGACUGGUUACUUUUCUCUUGGCCAGUUACUGUUGAUCUACCCCCCACCCCCAGCAUAGAGACUUUGGGAAGGAACAUCCAUUAUUAUGGACCUCUCUCCUGUCCACUGAUAGUUUGAAGGUGAUAGCAGACAGAACCCAGAGAUGUUCCUGUCUUCUCAUUUCUUCAAACACUUAGGCCUUCCCAAAAGUUCUUCACCAAUAGGCAAAACUAUCUACCUACAGACCUCACAUCUUUCCUCGUGCCCCAGUCCAUGGCUUCCAGGUGGGAAGCUGAAGCCAGUUCGACUCUAGGUUUUUGGUUUCCAGUUUGCUGGUCAUACUCUGCAUUUAUUGUUUUAGAGAAUCGUUGUUAGACCAGAAGUUGUGUGUUUUUCUUGGCCUUAACUGGUUAACAACAUGUUUUUUUCCAAAACACACUGACUAGAACUUGGCCCAAGAAUUUAACUAGCACUUUUCUUUAUUACUCUGUGGAGCUUAAUAUUGAAAUUCUGAAUUUAGAGACUUGGUCCUCAAAAAAGCGGGACAUUCAGGAAGAGACAAAUUGAGGGGUUCCUAUGUAGAAGUCUAUAGGUGGUUCAAUUAAAAUUCUGUCUUGAUUUUGAAGCUCUAUUUUUAAACUCUGACCAGGUGUUUGACUAAAUUGGUAUGACUAACAUGCUAGACAAAAUUAAUGUGUAGGCAUUAAUAGCCUUCACAUCGAGAUAUUGUUUUAUUUUUACUUUAAAAAGUAUUGCCAACAGACUGUACAGUGUGGGAAGCAGACAAUACUUAAAAGCCAAGUGGCUUUCCAACUUAUUUUGAUGUAAUUUUUAUUUAAAGACAGUGUGUACAUAUCACCUCAAUGUCUGAGGAUCUAGAAUCAGUGUUCUGUAUUUGCUUUUGGUAUCUCUCGCCUAUUAGAACACUGUGUGAACUUUAGAAUUAAGGGACUAAAUAUAAUUUACUCUAAUUUACUCUAAGGGUCAUAUCUGGUUAGAACCUGGGCGGAACUACUUGAAAAAGAAGAUUUUUGCAAACUGGGGCUAUAGAUACUGAACCAAAAAUAAUUCUUUCAGUGUAAGAUUACUCUGUUCUCCUUACAAGGUUAUGACUAAACAUAAUCGGAAAUAUGUGUAUGUCCUGGCGGGGGAAAUGGGCUUGCUGUUGGAUGUAUGUUUUACAAUUAAUAAAUAUUAUAUCUUACUGAGCUCCA